rnacentral:rRNA from 1 species
ACACCAUCCUAAACAUCUUAUUCGCUCUCAGAAGCUAAGCAGGCUUGGCCCUGGUCAGUAUGGAGAUGGGAGACCAGGAGGGGAGACCAGGGA